GGUGCUUCCUUCGACCAUUUGCAAGCAAUCUCUGGUCUCUCAAAGUUACCUCCGUUGGCUAGUGGCUCAGCUCUCAGCUGUGUGACCUGCGUUACUGCGUGUUCAGCUUCAGCAUCAGCAGCUGAGAAAGUAAAUAAUAAAAUAUUAUUAUUUGACCACGAGUGUCGACGACCGACGUCGACCGCAUUAGCUUACUCACAAUCUAAGCUCCAAAAUGGGUAAGGUUUCUCGAAGCAGGACAAAGUACCACACUCCAGGCAAAAAUGCAUCAUCGGCGAAGAAGGAACCUGAGUCGCAAGCGUCGCAAGCCUCUCUGCCGCUCAAGAUAAAUAAUGUGCCAGAUAAUCUGUUUGCCGGGCUGGAUAUACCAUUGGAAUAUUUAGAACCAAACAAGAUUUUACAAGACAACCUGAGGAAAGAGGAAAGAGACAAUGAAGAUGCAAGGAGUACUUUCUCAUCGUUUUCUUCCUACUCUAAGAAAAGCUUCAAAAGCGAUUCAAUGCGUUCCUGCAAAAAGGACAUGAGAGCUCGUAGGAGGGAAGCUUUUCUUGCUAAGCUUAAUACAGUACACGCGGCGGAAGUUGAACGAAAAAAGAGAGAAAAGAGACAAAAAACUGUGGUCACUGGAGAUUUGCAGCCAUUGCUUGACGCUCUUGAUUCUACACAGAGGACGCCAAAGAGAGAAACUAUUAGACCAGUCAAAGAACGCUCUGUUCCCAAGCUUAAUUCUUGGACUCGCAUCCACAAUGAACGCAUGGAAAAAUGCAAGAAUGUUUUUAUGGAUUUUUUGUCACCAAAAUAAAAAAAAAACAAUAAUAUCAGAAAAGCUUUAGUGCAUCCUUGGUGACCUUCAAA